CAGGAAAAUUGGUGACUCGUGUGUUACAAACAAUAGUUUUUAAGGGAAAAAAUGUGAAAUAAUUUGUAUAGGUAGGUUAUGUAGGCUAAUCAACAUGAUAACAGACACUUUAGAUGAUCCUGGAGCAAAGGCUGUAAUUUGACCUGAACCCAAAUUGGUCUCUAUUUUAAAUAUUGUCUUGAACCAAUAAGUUAAGAGGACUAACCUUUCUGGACGACAUUGCCAUCGACAUCACAGCAGAUGAGAGAGAAAGAGAGACCAGAGUUGUGGACCCUGGAGGCAAUUACCAUACUGCCGUGAUAAUGUUCCUUGGUCUAACCAUAACUUAAGUGAGAACUGAAGCCUACCAGUAAAAUGGGGGCGUUGUAAUUAAUAUCCUCCGACAUUGGAGAAUACAGGGGAGAGGUGUCAGAGGAAGAGGAGAUGGAGGAUGGGGCGAAGUAAAGACUAAGAUUGAAGAGAACUAACUAAUGGCCUGAUGACAGGGUGGAUGGCGAUGGAGGCAUGGAGGUUGGGGGAGAGGAGGCUGAAGAAGUGGAGACAAAUCAGUUUAGAUCCAUUAUGUUGAUUAGUUUAACAUUUAUUUUAAACAUCAGUAUUUAAUUUUUUUUUCUCAUUUAGAUUAUUAAAUUAAGAUAAUUUUAUUGUUUUUAUGAAGAUGUUUUCUUACAUUUUUAAUAUUUGUUUGUACUUCUGCCUGGUAAAAAAAUACUGUUUUCCUACAGUUACCUAACAAUGUACAUGUUCUCUCACUGAUUUGAGAAAGCAAAGUGGCCAAUUCGCUCA